AGAGUUUGAUCCUGGCUCAGGAUGAACGCUAGCGGCAGGCUUAACACAUGCAAGUCGAGGGGUAUAGUUCUUCGGAACUAGAGACCGGCGCACGGGUGCGUAACGCGUAUGCAAUCUACCUUUUGCAGAGGGAUAGCCCAGAGAAAUUUGGAUUAAUACCUCAUAGUAUGUGAGAAUGGCAUCAUUUUCGCAUUAAAGUCACAACGGCAAAAGAUGAGCAUGCGUCCCAUUAGCUAGUUGGUAAGGUAACGGCUUACCAAGGCAACGAUGGGUAGGGGUCCUGAGAGGGAGAUCCCCCACACUGGUACUGAGACACGGACCAGACUCCUACGGGAGGCAGCAGUGAGGAAUAUUGGACAAUGGGCGCAAGCCUGAUCCAGCCAUGCCGCGUGCAGGAUGACGGUCCUAUGGAUUGUAAACUGCUUUUGUACAGGAAGAAACACUGGUUCGUGAACCAGCUUGACGGUACUGUAAGAAUAAGGAUCGGCUAACUCCGUGCCAGCAGACGCGGUAAUACGGAGGAUCCAAGCGUUAUCCGGAAUCAUUGGGUUUAAAGGGUCCGUAGGCGGUUUAGUAAGUCAGUGGUGAAAGCCCAUCGCUCAACGGUGGAACGGCCAUUGAUACUGCUAGACUUGAAUUAUUAGGAAGUAACUAGAAUAUGUAGUGUAGCGGUGAAAUGCGUAGA
rnacentral:rRNA from 1 species